rnacentral:rRNA from 1 species
UGGGGAAUUUUGGACAAUGGGGGAAACCCUGAUCCAGCCAUUCCGCGUGUGCGAUGAAGGCCUUCGGGUUGUAAAGCACUUUUGGCAGGAAAGAAAUCGCACGGGUUAAUAACCCGUGUGGAUGACGGUACCUGCAGAAUAAGCACCGGCUAACUACGUGCCAGCAGCCGCGGUAAUACGUAGGGUGCAAGCGUUAAUCGGAAUUACUGGGCGUAAAGCGUGCGCAGGCGGUUCGGAAAGAAGGAUGUGAAAUCCCAGGGCUUAACCUUGGAACUGCAUUCUUAACUACCGGGCUAGAGUAUGUCAGAGGGAGGUGGAAUUCCGCGUGUAGCAGUGAAAUGCGUAGAUAUGCGGAGGAACACCGAUGGCGAAGGCAGCCUCCUGGGAUAAUACUGACACUGAGGAGCGAAAGCGUGGGGAGCGAACAGG